rnacentral:rRNA from 1 species
AUAUACUUUCUUUAUUUUAUAUAAAUAAAUUAAUUUUUUAGUUAAAAAGCUAAGAUUUUUUUAUAGGACGAGAAGACCCUAUAGAACUUUAUUUUCUACAUAUAUAUAUUUUAUAGAUUUUUAAAAUAUUAUAUAUUAAUAGUUAAUUUAAUUGGGGUGAUUGAAAAAAUUAUAUAACUUUUUCUAUUUCUAUCAUUUAUUUAUGAUGUUUUUGAUCCUUUAAUAUGGAAAAUAAGAUUAAGUUACCUUAGGGAUAACAGCGUUAUUUUUUUGGA